UGCUUCAAAGUUUGUGGGCUUUCGAAGACAUCACACACGCUAUCGACAGUUCCGUAAACGUGAUGGGCAAACUCGGAUGUCUUGAAAAUGACAAGUUCAAAGAAGUGGCCAAAG